UUGGGGCAGUGGCUGGAUGGGA
rnacentral:miRNA from 1 species